rnacentral:rRNA from 1 species
UACGUAGGUGGCAAGCGUUAUCCGGAUUUACUGGGUGUAAAGGGCGAGUAGGCGGGAUUGCAAGUCAGAUGUGAAAACUAUGGGCUCAACCGAUAGAGUGCAUUUGAAACUGCAGUUCUUGAGUGAUGGAGAGGCAGGCGGAAUUCCCGGUGUAGCGGUGGAAUGCGUAGAUAUCGGGAGGAACACCAGUGGCGAAGGCGGCCUGCUGGACAUUAACUGACGCUGAGGCGGGAAAGCGUGGGGAGCAAACAGG